rnacentral:rRNA from 1 species
CUCAGAUUGAACGCUGGCGGCAGGCCUAACACAUGCAAGUCGAGCGGUAGCACAGAGAGCUUGCUCUCGGGUGACGAGCGGCGGACGGGUGAGUAAUGUCUGGGAAACUGCCUGAUGGAGGGGGAUAACUACUGGAAACGGUAGCUAAUACCGCAUAACGUCGCAAGACCAAAGUGGGGGACCUUCGGGCCUCAUGCCAUCAGAUGUGCCCAGAUGGGAUUAGCUAGUAGGUGGGGUAACGGCUCACCUAGGCGACGAUCCCUAGCUGGUCUGAGAGGAUGACCAGCCACACUGGAACUGAGACACGGUCCAGACUCCUACGGGAGGCAGCAGUGGGGAAUAUUGCACAAUGGGCGCAAGCCUGAUGCAGCCAUGCCGCGUGUGUGAAGAAGGCCUUCGGGUUGUAAAGCACUUUCAGCGGGGAGGAAGGCGGUGAGGUUAAUAACCUCAUCGAUUGACGUUACCCGCAGAAGAAGCACCGGCUAACUCCGUGCCAGCAGCCGCGGUAAUACGGAGGGUGCAAGCGUUAAUCGGAAUUACUGGGCGUAAAGCGCACGCAGGCGGUCUGUCAAGUCGGAUGUGAAAUCCCCGGGCUCAACCUGGGAACUGCAUUCGAAACUGGCAGGCUAGAGUCUUGUAGAGGGGGGUAGAAUUCCAGGUGUAGCGGUGAAAUGCGUAGAGAUCUGGAGGAAUACCGGUGGCGAAGGCGGCCCCCUGGACAAAGACUGACGCUCAGGUGCGAAAGCGUGGGGAGCAAACAGGAUUAGAUACCCUGGUAGUCCACGCUGUAAACGAUGUCGAUUUGGAGGUUGUGCCCUUGAGGCGUGGCUUCCGGAGCUAACGCGUUAAAUCGACCGCCUGGGGAGUACGGCCGCAAGGUUAAAACUCAAAUGAAUUGACGGGGGCCCGCACAAGCGGUGGAGCAUGUGGUUUAAUUCGAUGCAACGCGAAGAACCUUACCUGGUCUUGACAUCCACAGAACUUUCCAGAGAUGGAUUGGUGCCUUCGGGAACUGUGAGACAGGUGCUGCAUGGCUGUCGUCAGCUCGUGUUGUGAAAUGUUGGGUUAAGUCCCGCAACGAGCGCAACCCUUAUCCUUUGUUGCCAGCGGUCCGGCCGGGAACUCAAAGGAGACUGCCAGUGAUAAACUGGAGGAAGGUGGGGAUGACGUCAAGUCAUCAUGGCCCUUACGACCAGGGCUACACACGUGCUACAAUGGCAUAUACAAAGAGAAGCGACCUCGCGAGAGCAAGCGGACCUCAUAAAGUAUGUCGUAGUCCGGAUUGGAGUCUGCAACUCGACUCCAUGAAGUCGGAAUCGCUAGUAAUCGUAGAUCAGAAUGCUACGGUGAAUACGUUCCCGGGCCUUGUACACACCGCCCGUCACACCAUGGGAGUGGGUUGCAAAAGAAGUAGGUAGCUUAACCUUCGGGAGGGC